rnacentral:lncRNA from 1 species
UUUUUUCUAAUACUAGGAGUUAAAAAUGGAAAAGUUUAUGGUUUAACUUUUUUUUCUUUUUUUUUUUUUUUUGGUUUUUCAAGACAGGGUUUCUCUGUAGCCCUGGCUGUCCUGGAACUCACUUUGUAGACCAGGCUGGCCUCGAACUCAGAAAUCCACCAGCCUCUGCCUCCCAAGUGCUGGGAUCAAAGGCAUGCGCACCACCAUUUGGCUGGCCUUUAUACUUUUAUUCAUCAGUAGUGAAUUGCUACAUGCUUUUAAUUUCUGCAUAUACAGGUACAUUAGGCAAGUUUUUAUAGGCACUUCAGAAUAUGUAGUCAAAACUCAUGCUUGUGAAACUGUGACAUGAACUUUGUUAUCUUGGUCUUGCAUCAGUAGACAGUCAUGUUAUAGAGCUGAUGGCAUAUAUACAUAGUGAUUGUUACACUAUGCUAUGGAAGAGAUGUUAAUAAACAGGCAAAUGGUUAGUGUUUUUAAUAGUUACGUUUGUAGCAGUGAAUAAGCCCUUCUUUCUGAGCUGUUGACUUUUCCCUCUGCUGUAUGUGUGAGGUGCAGAGACUCUUCGAAUCCUGGCUCUGUGAGUGUCCCAUUGUGACUAUUUUCCAUUGUUCAUGCUGUUCUUUUUCCCUUAAAGCACAAGGAAGUCUGAAGUAGUUUUACCUAUGCAUAUUGCAGAAUCUUGUUUAAUUUAUUAACAUCUUCCUGUUGGCAAUGAAAUAAAGGAAUUUAAAUUCUAGAUGGUUUCUUUCCAUUAAAAUUGUUAAGAUAUACUGAGCAAAUUGUUUUUCCUUGCAUUUUUCCCUAGAGAAAGGAAGCUCCUGAAAUAUAACUGGAGCUUCUUUAUUUUUCAUUCAACUCUUAACAAGAUUUUUAAUUGGACUUUCUUUUUUUAAUUGGCAGCCCUUAUAAACCACCAACAAAGGCUUUCUUAAUGAAAAUACUGGUAUAAGUGAAACUCUCUAAAAAAAUAAUCAUUUAUUUCAUUUUAAGAUUCAUUUGUAUUAUUUUUAAUCGUGUAUGUGGGGGUAGGCGAGUAUCUGCAUGUGAGUACAAGUGUCUUUGGAGGCCAGGGACACACUGGGACUGGAGUUACAGGUCACCAGGUUGUGAGUACUGGGAACACUUUGAGCACAUGUAUUUGGGUCUGAAUGAAGGGGAAUGGGCAACUCCAAAGCCAGUUUCUCAGUGAGCUCAAACAGCAUGUGAUAGUUUACCAUCUAAUGUAUCUUACAGAGGGGACAUGUGUAAAAAUGCUGUGCACACUUAUAUUAUACGCUAUGUGCUUUGUUAUUGUCCGUUCUAGCUGUGGUGAAGAUCCUUCUAGUCAUUCUUCUCUCCCACCAAUACAUCUGUUAAAGCUCCUGCAGUGAAACAAUACAAUGUACACUGUCACCAGUCAUAGAUACUGCAAGGAGGUUAAUAUUAACAUGCUAGGAUGGGUAGAAAUAGAAAAUGAAAUAUGUGAGCUGGCAAAAAGAGUACUUAUCAUGCAGUGGGUAAAUACAAUGCAAGCCUGGCCAUCUGAGUUCAGUUCAUAGAACCACAGUAGAGACAGACUUCCCAAAGUUGGUUUUUGACCUCUACAUGAACUUGCGUCUGCACUCUCAUACACACACUCAAGGGACUGGGGGGAAAUCUGAUAUAAAUAAUUAUGUGAUUGAUUUGGGAAGGAGUAUUUAGUUUUAUUUUUAAACAGGGCUACAUAUACCCAAGGCUGGCUUUAAACUCCCUGUCUAGUGGUGAUCCUGCUGGCUAUAUCUUCCAAGUGCUAGAAUUAUAGGUAUGUUCCAGCACACCCUGUCUAUUUCUCUUUUUUGAGACAGGGUCUUGCUCUGUGAUUCUGACUGACCUUGAAUUAACUUUGGAGCUCAGGCUAGCCUCAAACUUGCCUCAGUGUCCUGAGUGCUGGGGUUACAGGUGUGCACCACCAUGCUUGGUUCAAUCAUGCAUUCUUAUCAUCUGCAUUGUCAUAAUUUAGCACAAGAAAUGCUUGGAUAUGUAAGUAUAACUAAUGAACCUUAUGGUCUAUAAAAACAUUUCUUUACCCUACCUACUUUUUUCUCUGUAAAAAGUGACAAGAUAGUCAUACAAAAUUCAAUCACAUCUGUAACCUCACCCCUGACCCAGGAUAUGUAUCAGUCAGUUUUGAGUCUCUAUGCUUAACAGAGUCAGGACUGUUUCAUUCAUUUGCUAAGCCUCAAACCUAAAGUUUAUAGCAUAAAAUU